UNGCAGAGAGGAGCAAAUAGGACCAC
rnacentral:piRNA from 1 species